GACAGAGGAUGCAAGCGUUAUCCGGAAUGAUUGGGCGUAAAGCGUCUGUAGGUGGUUUGACAAGUCUUCUGUCAAAGAUCAGGGCUUAACCCUGGGCAGGCAGGAGAAACUAUCAGGCUAGAGUUCGGUAGGGGCAGAGGGAAUUCCCGGUGGAGCGGUGAAAUGCGUAGAUAUCGGGAGGAACACCAAAGGCGAAAGCACUCUGCUGGGCCGCGACUGACACUGAGAGACGAAAGCGAGGGGAGCAAAUGGGAUUAGAUACCCCAGUAGUCCUCGCCGUAAACGAUGGAUACUAGGUGUUGGGUGGGUUCAAAUCAUUCAGUACCGUAGCUAACGCGUGAAGUAUCCCGCCUGGGGAGUAUGCUCGCAAGAGUGAA
rnacentral:rRNA from 1 species